rnacentral:rRNA from 1 species
CGGACCGGCGCACGGGUGAGUAACGCGUAUGCAACCUACCUAUCAGGAGGGGAUAACCCGGCGAAAGUCGGACUAAUACCGCAUAAAACAGGGGUUCCACAUGGAAAUAUUUGUUAAAGAUUUAUCGCUGAUAGAUGGGCAUGCGUUCCAUUAGAUAGUUGGUGAGGUAACGGCUCACCAAGUCUACGAUGGAUAGGGGUUCUGAGAGGAAGGUCCCCCACACUGGUACUGAGACACGGACCAG